rnacentral:rRNA from 1 species
AUUGAACGCUGGCGGCAUGCCUUACACAUGCAAGUCGAACGGUAACAGGUUAAGCUGACGAGUGGCGAACGGGUGAGUAAUGUAUCGGAACGUGCCCAGUCGUGGGGGAUAACUGCUCGAAAGAGCAGCUAAUACCGCAUACGACCUGAGGGUGAAAGCGGGGGAUCGCAAGACCUCGCGCGAUUGGAGCGGCCGAUAUCAGAUUAGGUAGUUGGUGAGGUAAAGGCUCACCAAGCCGACGAUCUGUAGCUGGUCUGAGAGGACGACCAGCCACACUGGGACUGAGACACGGCCCAGACUCCUACGGGAGGCAGCAGUGGGGAAUUUUGGACAAUGGGCGCAAGCCUGAUCCAGCCAUGCCGCGUGCGGGAAGAAGGCCUUCGGGUUGUAAACCGCUUUUGUCAGGGAAGAAAAGGUUCUGGCUAAUAUCUGGGACUCAUGACGGUACCUGAAGAAUAAGCACCGGCUAACUACGUG